GCGGCAAGAGCUCAACUUUGGAAUCGCUGCGGCGAGUUGUAGUCUGGAGGUGGCCGGUCCCGGCGCCAGCGCGCAGCCAAGUCCUUUGGAACAAGGCGCCUGAGAGGGUGACAGCCCCGUGGCAGUUUGUGCUGGUGCCGCCUCGGCCCACCGACGAGUCGAGUUGUUUGGGAAUGCAGCUCUAAGUGGGUGGUAAAUUCCAUCUAAAGCUAAAUACCGGCGAGAGACCGAUAGCGAACAAGUACAGUAAUGGAAAGAUGAAAAGCACUUUGAAAAGAGAGUGAAACAGUACGUGAAAUUGUUGAAAGGGAAGGGCUUGCACCCAGACACGGCCUUCUGGCCGGGCCAGCAUCGGGUGGGAGGGAGCGACAACGAGCA
rnacentral:rRNA from 2 species